UACAGAGGUCUCAAGCGUUGUUCGGAUUCAUUGGGCGUAAAGGGUGCGUAGGCGGCGCGGUAAGUCGGGUGUGAAAUCCUGGAGCUCAACUCCAGAACUGCCCUUGAUACUGGCGAUCUCGAGUUCGGGAGAGGUGAGUGGAACUGCGAGUGUAGAGGUGAAAUUCGUAGAUAUUCGCAAGAACACCAGUGGCGAAGGCGGCUCACUGGCCCGAUACUGACGCUGAGGUGCGAAAGCGUGGGGAGCAAACAGG
rnacentral:rRNA from 1 species